AACUUUUUUGGAGAGUUUGAUCCUGGCUCAGGAUGAACGCUGGCGGCGUGCCUAAUACAUGCAAGUCGA
rnacentral:rRNA from 1 species